UCAUAAAAAUGUCUAGUGAUGACGUCACGCGCAGCCCCCCAUCUGCGGCGGAAUGGAACGGCGAUGAUGCCAUUUUUUUCUUCGUCGUUAGUGCUGGAUUGUGCUGCAAAAAGUUUUGUUUGAACUGCUACGGUUUUCGAGAUAUUCAUAAAAAUGUCUAGUGAUGACGUCACGCGCAGCCCCCCAUCUGCGGCGGAAUGAAACGGCGAUGAUGCCAUUUUUUUCUUCGUCGUUAGUGCUGGAUUGUGCUGCAAAAAGUUUUGUUUGAACUGCUACGGUUUUCGAGAUAUUCAUAAAAAUGUCUAGUGAUGACGUCACGCGCAGCCCCCCAUCUGCGGCGGAAUGGAACGGCGAUGAUGCCAUUUUUUUCUUCGUCGUUAGUGCUGGAUUGUGCUGCAAAAAGUUUUGUUUGAACUGCUACGGUUUUCGAGAUAUUCAUAAUAAUGUAAAGUGAUGACCUGUUUUCAGCGCUGCGGGCCGCACAAUCGGUUCUUGUCUCGUGACGUUUCUGGCGCAAUGCAUUGUGGGUUUUCGUGUAUUGUACAACAACAACAAGCCCGUGACGCGAUCCUUUGCUCGGCAUCCAUUCUGCGUGGUAAUCGUUGAAAAUGCAUUCCCGCCUGGAAGAGAAAAUAUGGAACUCCGAUGAGUUGACCAAGAGGCUUGAAUGGUUGCAGCGGUGAGAAGAAAGGCCAUCGCUUUUCAUUCAUCAACUGAAAACAUGUCGGUCUGUUCCCUACAUUUCCAUAAAGGAAAACCAGCAUAUGAAAGAAAUGAGGCAGACCCUGACUGGGCACCAUCCUUACGCCUGGGACACACAUGUGUUCAACCCACCAACGUGGACCGCUCUUCUAGACGAAGUAGGCAUGAGAAAUUGAGGAUGGAGGAGGACGUUGGUGCGCUACAGGAGGAGCCUUCAGCGCCCUUCAGAUGCUCCUUCUGACCUUCAUGCGCCUGCGUUAGGACCUGUCUGCACUACACAUUGCACACAUAUUCCAUGUUUCCCGUAAGACUGUGUACUGAGUAUUCAAUGACAUGGUGCCCUUUGUACAUGCUAAUUUGAGACGAGCAAUUGUUUGGCCCAACAGAGAAACACUCUAUAAAACAAUGCCUCACGAGUUUGUUGAGUCCUUCAGACGCAGAGUUGCAGUGAUUAUUGAUUUAAAAAAAAAAUAAAAUAAAAUUACAGAGAAACCAUCAAAUAUUAAGGCCCGUGCGCAAAUGUUUUCUAGUUAUAAGCAUAACUACACCAUGAAAUACCUAAUUGGAAUCACACCAAAGUGGGGAAUUUGUUUCAUGUCAAAAGGUUGGGGUGGUUGCACAAGUGACAAACAUAUCACCUUGAACAGUGCUUUGCUCAAUAACCUUUUGCCUGGGGACAUUGUCUUGGCUGACAGAGGUUUUGAUAUUCAAGAACACGUGGGUAUGUUAUGUGCAGAGGUCCAACUCCCUGCGUUCACAAACGGUCGCUGUCAGUUAGCUGGUAGAGAUGUGGAGGAGACUAGGAAGAUGGCACAUUUGAGGAUCCAUGUUGAACAGGUAAUUGGUAAUCUUUGCCAGAAGUAUAAGAUCCUAACAGGAACUAUACCUAUUAACGUGGUUCUGCCAUGUGAUGGCGAAGAUUGCACAUUGUUGUAAAGAUUGUUUUAUGUUUGCGGUGCCCUUACAAACCUUUGCCCAACUGUUUUGUAGUUUGUACUGUUAUACGUGAAAGGUACCAUUUAGUAUGCUAACAGUUUCAGCCUUUCAAAUUUAGCUGUUGUUGAUUUUUUGUAUUUUGUUGUGACUUGAUUGUACUUAAUAAAACAUUGUCAUCUUGAAUCCUAUUCUUUGUAAGUACAGCAUUUGUGUCAAUACUGUAUUUUA